rnacentral:rRNA from 1 species
AGGAUGAACGCUAGCUACAGGCUUAACACAUGCAAGUCGAGGGGAAACGACAUCGAAAGCUUGCUUUUGAUGGGCGUCGACCGGCGCACGGGUGAGUAACGCGUAUCCAACCUGCCCACCACUUGGGGAUAACCUUGCGAAAGUAAGACUAAUACCCAAUGACGUCUCUAGAAGACAUCUGAAGGAGAUUAAAGAUUUAUCGGUGAUGGAUGGGGAUGCGUCUGAUUAGCUUGUUGGCGGGGUAACGGCCCACCAAGGCUACGAUCAGUAGGGGUUCUGAGAGGAAGGUCCCCCACAUUGGAACUGAGACACGGUCCAAACUCCUACGGGAGGCAGCAGUGAGGAAUAUUGGUCAAUGGGCGAGAGCCUGAACCAGCCAAGUAGCGUGCAGGAUGACGGCCCUAUGGGUUGUAAACUGCUUUUAUAAGGGAAUAAAGUGAGCCUCGUGAGGCUUUUUGCAUGUACCUUAUGAAUAAGGACCGGCUAAUUCCGUGCCAGCAGCCGCGGUAAUACGGAAGGUCCGGGCGUUAUCCGGAUUUAUUGGGUUUAAAGGGAGCGUAGGCCGGAGAUUAAGCGUGUUGUGAAAUGUAGACGCUCAACGUCUGCACUGCAGCGCGAACUGGUUUCCUUGAGUACGCACAAAGUGGGCGGAAUUCGUGGUGUAGCGGUGAAAUGCUUAGAUAUCACGAAGAACUCCGAUUGCGAAGGCAGCUCACUGGAGCGCAACUGACGCUGAAGCUCGAAAGUGCGGGUAUCGAACAGGAUUAGAUACCCUGGUAGUCCGCACGGUAAACGAUGGAUGCCCGCUGUUGGUCUGAAUAGGUCAGCGGCCAAGCGAAAGCAUUAAGCAUCCCACCUGGGGAGUACGCCGGCAACGGUGAAACUCAAAGGAAUUGACGG